UGAUGGAAACACCUCAUUUCACAAUCAGAUAAAUAAAUCUAACACUUCAUCAUUUCUCUUCCAGGCUGUGGGGGUGUAAUCUGACAGAGGAAAGCUGUGGAGUUCUGUCCUCAGUUCUCAGCUCAAACUGCUCCAGACUGAGAGAACUGGACCUGAGUAAGAAUAACCUGCAGGAUUCAGGAGUGAAGCUGCUCGCUGCUGGACUGGAGAAUCCACACUGUCCACUGGAGACACUGAGCAUGUAUAAAUGCAGUAUUACAGAUGAAGGUUGUGUUGCUCUGGCUUCAGCUCUGAGUUCAAACUCCUCAUCACACCUGAGAGAACUGAAUCUGAACUGGAAUAAUCCAGGAAAAUCAGGAGUGAAGCUGCUCUCUGAUCUACUGAAGGAUCCACACUGUAAACUGGAGACAUUAUAUUUUAAUAAUAAUAAACUCACCAGGACUGGCAUAUGACAGGAGUCUCACCUCAAACCUCUUCUCCAGGAUAAAACAGUUUUGGUGAAGAGUUAGAACCCGUCCCACAUUUCCAGCAGUUUGGGAGCUGAAAUCAUUAAACUUAAAGGGACAGAGAAGAUACAAAGUCAAGAAUAGGCAGAAGGUAAUACACAGGAGAAAUCAACACACGUAAUGAAAUACCUGCUGUACAAAGCAAUGGCAAUAAUCUGCCCUGGGGAUGGAGACUGACGAGGCUUAAGUACACGUCCGGAAAUGUGCAGGUGACUGAUCUCAAAGCACGAGGCAGGAGCAGGCAUGUUAAUGGUAAAUGGUGUGCACUUAUAUAGAGCUUUUUUAACCUUAGUGGUUCCAAAGCGCUGUACACUGUUUCACAUUCAUGAGGCUUGUGCCAAAGAGUAGAUGUGAAAAUACAGUGGAAAAUUUCCCUUGCAACCUGCCAACCUUUGCUGUGUCAUGAACACAGUGUCUUGGUCAACCCAGGAGAUGAUUUAGAAAAGUGCCUAUGCAACAGUGUGUGCUCAGCAUGCAUGGAGGCACUGGUUCUGUACAUAGUGUUACAUGAAAUAAAACCAGAAAUAACACAAAUCAAUACCCUCGUGCGCAUCUCUCUAAUGGCCUGAUGAGGUCCAUGUCAAUUCUUUCAACUCAGACCUUGAAUAAAGGUAAUGGGCACAAUGGUGCUAUUGGGGUGGCCAGUGGAUUUGCAGCUGAAAUUAGUAGCCUGGUAACAAUUGCUUCCACAGCUCCUUUUUGAUGCACCAGUCGACUUAACACUACCCAUAUGGGUUGAUGUUUGGCCGAAAACCUAAGCUACUAGUGGAUAGUUUGCUUGAUGGUAGUGAAGAAGGGGAAGGAGAUGGUGCCCAUUCAGAUUGGGUGGCCCAACACCAAAAGAAUUUGACCUCCAGUUAUACCAGUUCCCGAAGGCACUUGGAGACUGUGGUCAUUCACCGUAGGACCAAUUGCCCUGACUCAAUAACAAUACUACCCCCUCGCACUUUAGUGUAUUGUAAGAAUCCUUUUCAUGGUUGCCGUAAGAUUCAGGUUGUC